rnacentral:rRNA from 1 species
UACGGGGGGGGCAAGCGUUGUUCGGAAUUACUGGGCGUAAAGGGCUCGUAGACGGCCAACUAAGUCAAACGUGAAAUCCCUCGGCUUAACCGGGGAACUGCGUCUGAUACUGGAUGGCUUGAGUUUGGGAGAGGGAUGCGGAAUUCCAGGUGUAGCGGUGAAAUGCGUAGAUAUCUGGAGGAACACCGGUGGCGAAGGCGGCAUCCUGGACCAACACUGACGCUGAGGAGCGAAAGCCAGGGGAGCAAACGGG